CUCCAGAUGUUGCUGAACUACAACUCCCAUGAUUCUCAGUCUACCUAUUCCAUCCAUAGAAUCAUGGGAGUUGUAGUUCAGCAAUAUCUGGAG